rnacentral:lncRNA from 1 species
AGUAUAGACCACGCCACUCGUGUCGAUUAGUCUUGUAUCACCGUUCACCUACAAGGUCCAAGAACACCACGAUGAAGACAACGGUGCUGAUACUGGCCGUCCUUCUUAUCUCAGCAGUGAUGCUGACCGAGGGGGCGCCUGCUAAACCUUCAAGAUCCGGCUCACAGGGUGGUUCGCAGGGCAAGAAAUGUGGGUCCAAGAUCUGCAAAGCAAACGAGACCUGCCAGGAUGGUGCUUUCGCACGGCCUAUAUGCGUCAGUCAACUCAUAUACAAAUAAAAGCCCCAUGGAUGAGCACCAACAAGAUCAAUCUGCUUGGCUGGUCAAUAAAGUUACUUUUGCUCACUCA